UACUCUGAACAGCGGCAGUAUUGUAGCCAAUGAAGUUUAUCUGAGGCACGAUUAUUGCUAAUUGAAAACUUUUCCCAAUACCCCACCACAAUGACUUGAAAUACAGUCAGCCUUGGCAAUUUUUGACAGUCUCUAUAGAGA